AAAACAGGUACUGAGUAUAAAACAAUAUAAAACAAUAUGAGAGGGUCCGUCUCUUCCCUCACCCUGAUCUCCCCAAAUUUGGUCGAUAUCUAAGGUUUUUUUUUGCUGUACAACUCCUUUUCUGGAGUUUUACUCACUUUCAACAAGGAAGGUGAGUUUUCCUGCUUCCAUGAUGAUGGAGGGCAGGCAACUCCUUUCUGGAGUUUCAGCUCAAUUCCAACAGGGAAGGCGAGUUGGAGUUUUUUUCCUGCUUAUAGGCUGGUAGAGAGCAGUGUUGAGCCUGGACUCCAUUCCUAGAUGCGAUUCCUCCCGUGAUCUCAGUGAUUGUAUCAGGCGAAAACGAGGAGGGCAAAAUACCGUCCAGAUGUAAACUAGGAGCAGCCGCACCAGCAGCACCAGCAGAAUGCCGUGGUAGUGCGGCAGGCCCUGGCCCCAUGGACAAAGAGAAACUCGUCAGUGGCAGUGGCCACGAACUCAGAAAGCCUGAGGACAGUCAGCAGCUCCUCUGGCUCUUCACUUUCACACUGGUGCAACUACAGGAGCUGAAGAACAUUUUUCAACUCGUUCCAUACCCGGACGUGUUAGGAUCAGAUUCAUCAUUGGACUCCUGGACCUAUCACUGCGGACCUCAAAUGUGCACCUUUUAAGCCCUUUCCUUCACUCCUGACUGAUUGAUUUGGGAUCCACUGCUAAGUCAGACUUUUGAACCAUUGUUCCAGGCAAACUUCUGUUAAAGCUGGU
rnacentral:lncRNA from 1 species